UUACGGGAGGCAGCAGUAGGGAAUAUUGGACAAUGGGUGCGAGCCUGAUCCAGCCAUGCCGCGUGCAGGAAGACGGCCUUCUGGGUUGUAAACUGCUUUUGCCAGGGGAUAAAACGUCUCUGCGGAGAUAAUUGAAGGUACCUGGUGAAUAAGCCACGGCUAACUACGUGCCAGCAGCCGCGGUAAUACGUAGGUGGCAAGCGUUGUCCGGAUUUAUUGGGUUUAAAGGGUGCGUAGGUGGUUCCAUAAGUCAGUGGUGAAAUACGGCAGCUUAACUGUCGAGGUGCCAUUGAUACUGCGGAACUUGAGUACAGACGAGGUAGGCGGAAUUGACGGUGUAGCGGUGAAAUGCUUAGAUAUCGUCAAGAACACCGAUAGCGAAGGCAGCUUACUAGACUGUAACUGACACUGAGGCACGAAAGUGUGGGGAUCAAACAGGAUUAGAUACCCCGGUAGU
rnacentral:rRNA from 1 species